AUGUUGCUGUGUGACUUGGAGCUAAGGGUAUUGUUGGCAAAAAAGCUGUACAAAGUCCUUGUCUAUAACUGCCAACUUUGGUGGUGCUCCUCUGCCUCCCCAGACCUGGAGCUCCCUGAGCUCAAGGAAAGGACUGCUGCUGCUGCUGCUGCUGCUGCUGCUCCUCCUCCUCCUCCUUCACCGUCUCCCCAGAAGACUGUGAAGUCCCUGAGGACAAAGAACAGUAUUGACAGCACCUUAGUACAGAACUUUAAUCACCUCGAGCCUUGACUGAUGCAAGAGCCUCCAGGUGAACCCGCCGCUCUCAAGUCUUUCUCCACUCCACUUCAUCUUCCAUUUCAGUGAUUUUCCAAGAAGGCAGAUCUGAUCACAUCACACCCCCCUCCCACAUUCAAAUUCUAAUGGACCCCUGCAAAAUAAAAUAUGAAAUCUUGUACUCA
rnacentral:lncRNA from 1 species